AUCCAGCUUACGAGCCCCAAAUAAGGCGAAAUGCGCAUCCUGGCUGGAU
rnacentral:hammerhead_ribozyme from 1 species